rnacentral:lncRNA from 1 species
GCCUUUAAUUACAUUCGGCAAAUCACAUACUAAAAUCUAAGUCAGAUAUACAGUAUUGUGACAAUAAUCCGCCCACAAAAGCGGGUUUUGACCGGAUAGCUAGCUUUCAUGACUGAAAUAUUGACGCAUUAUCCUGUGUUAAUAAUAUGCCGAGUAAUGCUAAUGUUUGUCGACCUCUGAGCACUGUUACAGCGCGCCACCAAUAUUGAUUGAAUAAUACAUUACGGAAG